rnacentral:lncRNA from 1 species
UGCAUUGAACAGUUAUUAUCCAAUUCAAAUGACUAAUUAAAGUGACUAAAAUUUUGCUAUAGAAACUUAUUCAACAAAACUAUCAAAAUAGCUAUAAUAACUAACUUUUUUAUCCAUUAUCAGAAGCCGAAGAAAAGCAUCUUCUUCAUUCUCCUCCCUAUGAUCAAUUAAACUCCUCAUUCUGAUGAUUCUGAGUGUUAUCUUCCAACAUUCCUUCCAGGGGAUGAGAUUAGAGAGGAGCUUUUUUGAAUCAGUUGACACUAAGCAUAGUUCAUUUGUUUCAUCUAUCACACAAGCAGCAAUACAAACAAAACUACCCAAAUUUCAGAAGAAAAUCAUAAGGGAAUGGAUAAACAGGACCAAAAACAAUUAUUGUUACUGGAACACAACAUCUUAUAUCAAAACAAAAAAUCCAAUUUUCAAAACAGAAUCAGAAAAGAACGCCCAAACAGGGACAAAAACAAAGCCUGUUAAUUGAAAGGAAACUUGAGUAUCAAAGUAAACAAAUAUCAAAGAAUCUGAAAUAAGUCAUAACCACUACAUACCUACAUCACAGAAAAUUCAGACUGAAUAGUGAAACACGCCACAUGAUGGAAGGGGACAGAGAAAGGACAGGGCCGCAGUAAAAAUUCCCACCUAACUUGUUGUUUCCCAAGAUAAGAGAGAGGCAGAGUGACAUGAACCCUAGGCUGAUUUCCUCUUGAGAACUACCACCGAUCUUUAAAUGA